rnacentral:lncRNA from 1 species
UUACAUAUGGCUAUGACCAACUUAUAUAAGUAUAUCAUUGCUAUUAAAAAUACAAGUACAUAUCCCUUAAUUAUAUUCAGAAAAUGAAACGUUACCACAGAUAAAAAAAAAGAGCAUUAUCUUAGCAUCCAAAGAAAAAACUUUUUCCCUCGAAAAAUAAAAGAAAACAACUUUUCAUAGCAUCCUAAGAAAAACAACUUUUCCCCUCA